CUCGCGUGUCGUGUCAGCCGCCGCGGUAAUACGGAGGGUGCAAGCGUUAAUCGGAAUUACUGGGCGUAAAGCGCACGCAGGCGGUCUGUCAAGUCGGAUGUGAAAUCCCCGGGCUCAACCUGGGAACUGCAUUCGAAACUGGCAGGCUAGAGUCUUGUAGAGGGGGGUAGAAUUCCAGGUGUAGCGGUGAAAUGCGUAGAGAUCUGGAGGAAUACCGGUGGCGAAGGCGGCCCCCUGGACAAAGACUGACGCUCAGGUGCGAAAGCGUGGGGAGCAAACAGGAUUAGAUACCCUGGUAGUCCACGCCGUAAACGAUGUCGACUUGGAGGUUGUGCCCUUGAGGCGUGGCUUCCGGAGCUAACGCGUUAAGUCGACCCGCCGUGGGGAGUACGGCCGACAAGGUUAAAAACUUAAAUGAA
rnacentral:rRNA from 1 species